rnacentral:rRNA from 1 species
UGCAAGUCGAACGGCAGCACGGGUGCUUGCACCUGGUGGCGAGUGGCGAACGGGUGAGUAAUACAUCGGAACGUACCUUAUCGUGGGGGAUAACGCAGCGAAAGUUGCGCUAAUACCGCAUACGCCCUGAGGGGGAAAGCGGGGGACCGUAAGGCCUCGCGCGAUUAGAGCGGCCGAUGUCUGAUUAGCUUGUUGGUGAGGUAAAAGCUCACCAAGGCGAUGAUCAGUAGCUGGUCUGAGAGGACGAUCAGCCACACUGGGACUGGGACACGGCCCAGACUCCUACGGGAGGCAGCAGUGGGGAAUUUUGGACAAUGGGGGCAACCCUGGUCCAGCAAUGCCGCGUGAGUGAAGAAGGCCUUCGGGUUGUAAAGCUCUUUUGUCAGGGAAGAAACAGCAGCUCUAACACAGUCUGCGGGGGACGGUACCUGAAGAAUAAGCACCGGCUAACUACGUGCCAGCAGCCGCGGUAAUACGUAGGGUGUGAGCGUUAACCGGAAUUACUGGGCGUAAAGCGUGCGCAGGCGGUUAUACAAGACAGGCGUGAAAUCCCCGGGCUUAACCUGGGAAUGGCGUCUGUGACUGUAUAGCUAGAGUGUGUCAGAGGGGGGUGGAAUUCCACGUGUAGCAGUGAAAUGCGUAGAUAUGUGGAGGAACACCAAUGGCGAAGGCAGCCCCCUGGGAUAACACUGACGCUCAU